GCACUGAGACAUCAAAGAAUAUAAUCGCGGAGGACAAUGAUUCGGUAACGCAAGUCUUUCUCCGUUCUCUAAUUUACGAAUCACUUCGUUAUUUUUUACACCUUGGAACGGUUUUACACCUAACAUUAAAAUUUCCCACAUGCAUACACCUGAAGAAGCAAAAAGAAAAGAUUUUACAUUACUAUCAAGUAUGGAAAAGAACAUCAGUUUUUAUCUUAAAACACCUACCAAACAUCCAAACGUCAGACGACGUUGUAAAUCUUCGAAAAUUAAUACUCUCCGGUGCCAUCCAUUUAAUAGGCUUCUUCGAGAAAUUUUUCCGAAGUUGCAAGAUCUGCAUCGACUUUACAGGUUUUAACUGCUACAGGUAUUACUUGAUUGUCCCGUCCUUUAUAAGAACCUUUAUGUACAUUGCCAAACUGGCCCUCUCCAAUGAUUUCACCUAGUUCCACUUGAUUCCUGACUAUCUCAUAAUCUCUAGCUAAAAUUAUUAAAAUUAUUAACAAUCAAAGUUUAAUAUUCCUUUGGGUGUAAAAGGCAGGUAGUAUGAUAAACUUGUUUUUUUUUUUUUUUUUUUUUAAAUUACACUCACUAGCUGGCGUUGAAUAGUCUCCUUCUUCGUCUACGAUUUCUGCGUAGUCCUCUGAUAAAAUUGUUCCCGUUUUGCUUACGUUUUUCUCCGGACUAUUGGAUCCCUCUUGUCUGUACUUUGGUGGAUGAGCAUCUAUUUUGAAGUCAAGAAUAUAAUCAAUAAUCGUGAAUAUAUCAAUCGUGGUUCUCAUGCAAGCACUCUAAACGAGACAGUAAACUACAACUCGGGAUCAUUCAAAACUACAAACCUUUGCAUGGACAGGGAUAGUUUUUCCACGAUGCAGCUUGGAAGUGUAAACGAUUAUAACUUAGUAUCUUUUAUGUAACGUAAAAGGGAUUCGUGCGAGAUAUUUGGGGUAUAGUAUAUGAUUUCAUUAUAAAAAUACAAUGAAACUAAACGUUCUGUGACAUUUAUAAAUAAAAUAAAUUUCUAUAGUUUUUUGAACAUUAUCACGAAUACCGAUAAAAAUUAAAGGAAAUGUUCAUUGCCUCAAUAUCGAGAUUGUU
rnacentral:misc_RNA from 1 species